GGCUGAAAUUACGCCUUCCAUGAAGCCGGAAUUGCUAGUAAUGGCAGGUCAGCAUACUGCCGUGAAUACGUUCCCGGGCCUUGUACACACCGCCCGUCACACCAUGAGAGUUGGGAAUACCCGAAGCCUGUGAGCUAACUUUUAGAGGCAGCAGUCGAAGGUAGAAUCAAUGAUUGGGGUGAAGUCGUAACAAGGUAAC
rnacentral:rRNA from 1 species